UAUAAGUGACGUGAGAGGCAGCGGAAGUCAUUUGAACCUGUGGAGAAGUGGAGGCUGGAGGUGCUGUUUAUACUGGUUCACCUCAGAUGUGACCUUCAGGGACACCGUAGCGAAUCUAAUCAGUUGUGUCAAGAUGGAUGAUGGGAUUAAAUCCUCAAGGGCAAGAGACAGAAAUGCAUCAACUCCACUGAACCUGGGGACAGGGUGAAUGUCUCUGUGGUGCCGCUGUCGAUGUUCAUUUGGUUAAAUCACUAUGAUCGUUGACCGUGGCGAUGAUCAACGCUCAUCAAGCCAGUGCGGGCUGUGAAUGGCAUCUGAAGGUCUGGUUCUGAUGGAGCCGGGUCCAUCGUCUGAGUCCACACAAGUCCAUGACACAGGGUGAAAGUCUCUGCUUUCAUAAUUCCUGUCCAGUCAAAGGAGCAUCAACAAUAGUGGUUAUUGACAGGUCGGCCACAAAUGAGGAGCUGCAGUGAAUCGGUUUCUCCUCCCUUCCACUUCAGAAUGAAGAUAUUUUAUAACACUUUUUUUUUUACUUAAAAAAAAAAAAAUAAAGAUCCCAUUGUUUAAAGUCGA